UGGGGAAUUUUGGACAAUGGGCGAAAGCCUGAUCCAGCAAUGCCGCGUGUGUGAAGAAGGCCUUCGGGUUGUAAAGCACUUUUGUCCGGAAAGAAAUCCUUGGCUCUAAUACAGUCGGGGGAUGACGGUACCGGAAGAAUAAGCACCGGCUAACUACGUGCCAGCAGCCGCGGUAAUACGUAGGGUGCAAGCGUUAAUCGGAAUUACUGGGCGUAAAGCGUGCGCAGGCGGUUUGCUAAGACCGAUGUGAAAUCCCCGGGCUCAACCUGGGAACUGCAUUGGUGACUGGCAGGCUAGAGUAUGGGCAGAGGGGGGUAGAAUUCCACGUGUAGCAGUGAAAUGCGUAGAGAUGUGGAGGAAUACCGAUGGCGAAGGCAGCCCCCUGGGCCAAUACUGACGCUCAUGCACGAAAGCGUGGGGAGCAAACAGGAUUAGAUACCCUGGUAGUCCACGCCCUAAACGAUGUCAACUAGUUGUUGGGGACUUCAUUUCCUUAGUAACGUAGCUAACGCGUGAAGUUGACCGCCUGGGGAGUACGGUCGCAAGAUUAAAACUC
rnacentral:rRNA from 1 species